GUUGCCUCAGUGCAGUAGGCAGCGCGUCAGUCUCAUAAUCUGAAGGUCCUGAGUUGGAGCCUCAGAGGAGGCA
rnacentral:tRNA from 1 species